rnacentral:rRNA from 1 species
GAUGAACGCUAGCGGCAGGCUUAAUACAUGCAAGGCGAAGGGGCAGCAAUGUCACUGUCGUACGGGUGCGUAACGCGUAUGCAACCUACCUAUCACUGGGGGAUAGCCCGGGGAAAACCCGGAUUAAUACCGCAUAAAACAGGGGCACCGCAUGGUGAUAUUUGUUAAAGAUUUAUUGGUGAUAGAUGGGCAUGCGUUCG